ACAACAACAUUCGGACCGUCGGUCUACCGAGCCAUAUCACCCGCUCGGUGGAAGAUUUUCCCUCUGUCGUUAAAC
rnacentral:pre_miRNA from 1 species